GACGAACGCUGGCGGCGUGCUUAACACAUGCAAGUCGAACGGAAAGGCCCUGCUUUUGUGGGGUGCUCGAGUGGCGAACGGGUGAGUAACACGUGAGUAACCUGCCCUUGACUUUGGGAUAACUUCAGGAAACUGGGGCUAAUACCGGAUAGGAGCUCCUGCUGCAGGGUGGGGGUUGGAAAGUUUCGGCGGUUGGGGAUGGACUCGCGGCUUAUCAGCUUGUUGGUGGGGUAGUGGCUUACCAAGGCUUUGACGGGUAGCCGGCCUGAGAGGGUGACCGGCCACAUUGGGACUGAGAUACGGCCCAGACUCCUACGGGAGGCAGCAGUGGGGAAUAUUGCACAAUGGGCGGAAGCCUGAUGCAGCAACGCCGCGUGCGGGAUGACGGCCUUCGGGUUGUAAACCGCUUUCGCCUGUGGCGAAGCGUGAGUGACGGUAAUGGGUAAAGAAGCACCGGCUAACUACGUG
rnacentral:rRNA from 1 species